rnacentral:rRNA from 1 species
AACGAACGCUGGCGGCGUGCCUAAUACAUGCAAGUCGAACGAAACUUUCUUACACCGAAUGCUUGCAUUCACCGUAAGAAGUUGAGUGGCGGACGGGUGAGUAACACGUGGGUAACCUGCCUAAAAGAAGGGGAUAACACUUGGAAACAGGUGCUAAUACCGUAUAUCUCUAAGGAUCGCAUGAUCCUUAGAUGAAAGAUGGUUCUGCUAUCGCUUUUAGAUGGACCCGCGGCGUAUUAACUAGUUGGUGGGGUAACGGCCUACCAAGGUGAUGAUAGGUGGCCGAACUGCGAGGUUGAUCGGCCACAUUGGGACUGAGACACGGCCCAAACUCCUACGGGAGGCAGCAGUAGGGAAUCUUCCACAAGGGACGCAAGUCUGAUGGAGCAACGCCGCGUGAGUGAAGAAGGUCUCGGAUCGUAAAACUCUGUUGUUAGAGAAGAACACGAGUGAGAGUAACUGUUCAUUCGAUGACGGUAUCUAACCAGCAAGUCACGGCUAACUACGUGCCAGCCGCCGCCGUAAAAC